ACUCAAAUGAAUUGACGGGGGCCCGCACAAGCGGUGGAGCAUGUGGUUCAAUUCGACGCAACGCGAAGAACCUUACCUGGACUCGAAAUGCAGUCGACCGUCUCAGAGAUGAGGCUUUCCCGCAAGGGACGGCUGUAUAGGUGCUGCAUGGCUGUCGUCAGCUCGUGUCGUGAGAUGUUGGGUUAAGUCCCGCAACGAGCGCAACCCUCAUCCUUAGUUGCUCGCCCGAAAGGGAAGCACCCUAAGGAAACUGCCUCCGAUAAGGGGGAGGAAGGUGGGGAUGACGUCAAGUCCUCAUGGCCUUUAUGCCCAGGGCUACACACGUGCUACAAUGGCCGGUACAGACCGUUGCCAACCCGCGAGGGGGAGCCAAUCGGUAAAAACCGGUCUCAGUUCGGAUUGCAGUCUGCAACUCGGCUGCAUGAAGCUGGAAUCGCUAGUAAUCGCGUAUCAGAACGACGCGGUGAAUACGUUCCCGGGCCUUGUACACACCGCCCGU
rnacentral:rRNA from 1 species